UACAGAGGGUGCUAGCGUUAAUCGGAUUUACUGGGCGUAAAGCGUGUGUAGGCGGUUUGUUAAGUCGGGUGUGAAAUCCCUGGGCUCAACCUGGGAAUUGCAUUCGAUACUGGCAAGCUAGAGUACGGUAGAGGGCGGCGGAAUUCCGGGUGUAGCGGUGAAAUGCGUAGAUAUGCGGAGGAACACCGAUGGCGAAGGCAAUCCCCUGGACCUGUACUGACGCUCAUGCACGAAAGCGUGGGGAGCAAACAGG
rnacentral:rRNA from 1 species